rnacentral:rRNA from 1 species
UACGUAGGGUGCGAGCGUUACUCGGAAUUACUGGGCGUAAAGCGUGCGCAGGCGGUUUUGUAAGCCAGAUGUGAAAUCCCCGGGCUUAACCUGGGAAUGGCAUUUGGGACUGCAAGGCUGGAGUGUGGCAGAGGAGACUGGAAUUCCUGGUGUAGCAGUGAAAUGCGUAGAUAUCAGGAGGAAUACCGAUGGCGAAGGCGGCCAACUGGACGAACACUGACGCUGAGACACGAAAGCGUGGGGAGCAAACAGG